rnacentral:rRNA from 1 species
UACAGAGGUCUCGAGCGUUGUUCGGAUUCAUUGGGCGUAAAGGGUGCGUAGGCGGCGCGGUAAGUCGGGUGUGAAAUCUCGGAGCUUAACUCCGAAACUGCAUUCGAUACUGCCGUGCUUGAGGACUGGAGAGGAGACUGGAAUUUACGGUGUAGCAGUGAAAUGCGUAGAUAUGUGGAGGAACACCGAUGGCGAAGGCAGCCCCCCUGGGUUAACACUGACGCUCAUGCACGAAAGCGUGGGGAGCAAACAGG